GGAAAAUCAGGACUGAUUUUAAGGCAGCUUUGUGGUGACUUAGUCAUGGCUCAGGAAAGGUCUGCACAACAUGUGUCACUGGGGUUUUUGUUAUGGUCCAUUCCACAGAGAGAGUUUCAGACCUCACAAUUGAAUGGUUCAUCCAAUUUUUAAAGAACAAUUACUAGGCUUGCAUGAAGAGGUGCAUUACCACCUACACUAGUCUCUGAAACACUUGCUUUUCCACUGGUUUAAUGACUGGGCUGUAUCCAAACCCGAAGGGUCAUUUUGGAUGCUUUGGUCUCCAGAGUGCAGAGGCUGGGUUCCCUCCCAGGCCAGUGCACUGUGUCUGUGUUAGCAGCCUGCAGAUGGCACAUUCAGCCUCACCUCUCCUGAGACACUCCCACCCCUCCCAAGGCACCUGCUGAAGGUACCACUGACUGUUUAGAGGCUCCUGAGGUGCUUACUGGCACAGUGGGCUGGGCCAGCUUGUGGGUGAGUUAGAAAUAAAGCUGAGAACAGGGGAGCUCACCCAACAAUUAUCAAAAGCAUUGGGCAAACCAGCACAGUGAUAACCUUAUUCCUGGGUAGGAGUUCAAGGCAUGGAUUUACCUACAUUUGGCAUAAAGUCAAGAGCACAUGGUGUCCAGACAGGGGAGAACAGAGCCAAGCAAGUGGUACCUCAGCAGGAUCUCCUUGGCUUAUCCUGUACUGCUGUGGUCUGAUGCACCUCACACCCAAACAAACUGUAAAUGAUGGCCAAGACUAAUUACCCAGACAACUCCUGGUACUCAGGCUGGCUUGUUUUACCAAGAGGGGGAAUUGCUGCCGAGUUCCAACGAUGCGCUGCUAAUGAACGUGGGUAAGAACAGCACAGAAGGCAGAAGAAUGCCAGAGGAACUGAUCCCCAGAUUCCCCAGUGUGUGGAUCUGACACUGUGUAUUAGCAGCAGGGAAAAUCGAGGGCUGGUCAUUAAUAUUAACAUAGAUACUUUCUUCUGUUUUUCCUGAUAUCCAGAACAAAAGCAGGAUUAGGCUGUAUUUGUUUAAUGAGGUGGAUGUUGAUUUAGGCCUCUGCUGUGUCAGUUCACAUUUACCUCAGCAGGGAAGACUGCAGCAGGAGCCAGUGAGGUGCAAAAUCUCUCUGGAACGAAAUGCAGCAGCAGGACCAUUGCACUCCCCCUCGCCCCUGACCUUCCCACACAGGCAGGGGGAGCCUGCUGGCUCGGAGGAGGUGC